rnacentral:rRNA from 1 species
UACAUGCAAGUCGAGCGCGGGAAGCGAGUGGAUCCCUUCGGGGUGAAGCUCGUGGAACGAGCGGCGGACGGGUGAGUAACACGUGGGCAACCUGCCUGUAAGAUCGGAAUAACCCCGGGAAACCGGGGCUAAUGCCGGGUAAUACUUUCUUUCGCAUGAAGGAAAGUUGAAAGAUGGCUUCUCGCUAUCACUUACAGAUGGGCCCGCGGCGCAUUAGCUAGUUGGUGAGGUAACGGCUCACCAAGGCGACGAAGCGUAGCCGACCUGAGAGGGUGAUCGGCCACACUGGGACUGAGACACGGCCCAGACUCCUACGGGAGGCAGCAGUAGGGAAUCUUCCGCAAUGGACGAAAGUCUGACGGAGCAACGCCGCGUGAACGAUGAAGGUCUUCGGAUCGUAAAGUUCUGUUGUUAGGGAAGAACAAGUACCGUGCGAAUAGAGCGGUACCUUGACGGUACCUAACGAGGAAGCCCCGGCUAACUACGUGCCAGCAGCCGCGGUAAUACGUAGGGGGCAAGCGUUGUCCGGAAUUAUUGGGCGUAAAGCGCGCGCAGGCGGUUCCUUAAGUCUGAUGUGAAAGCCCACGGCUCAACCGUGGAGGGUCAUUGGAAACUGGGGAACUUGACGACAGAAGAGGAGAGUGGAAUUCCACGUGUAG